UGUUCUUUUUACUCUGCUACAGUCAGUCUAGAUGAAUACCUGCAAUGGCUCCAGUCCUUACAACCAAAGCAGGCAACAUCAGGAGAUGUUUCCAGAGAGAAGGUGGAAGGUCUUCAACCAUUGCUUUGGAUCCUCUUUGAGUUCCCUCCAAUUUUUUUUGAGAUCAGUCUUGGAAGGUAAAAACCAGAACUGCCCAAGAACAGCAAGUAGAAGCUGUUGAAGCAAUGCCAGCUACAGAAACCCCAGCCAACUCAAUUACUUGGCUUCUCAGAGCUCUGGUGCCUGUCAUCAAUAGUCAAGGGGAGAGUUGGGGGCUCUUUUGUUUGAUUCUGAUUCUACAGAGGAAAAUCCUACUGGCUUUAGUGUUUUGGCCUUUAAAAAUUAUUGAAUUUCCCCUAGGAAGUUGCAACUUUAAAAUAUUCUGUACUGAUACAUUUUUAAGUGUGCCCAGAUGUUAAAUGUUUACAUGAAUUAACUUGACUUUUUGAGUA